rnacentral:lncRNA from 1 species
CCAGCUCCUGUGUAAGGAAGUCAAGAUUUUCUCAAGGGAAAAAUCACCCUAGAAACCAUCAACUCAUGACAAACGUGAUCUCCAACGUUCAUUGUGGAAAAUAGCCUCAAGGAUGAGAUGAUGAGGAUUUUGAAGAUGGGUUGUUUCUCUGGAGAAUCCUGAUUAAUACAUGAAGGGUCAAGAUAAGUCUACUCCAGGUGAAGUGCAAAAAAUGAACAAGGAGGCCCAAUGAUGCAUCUGCUUAACUUUUCAGUUGUCAAUGCAAAUUAAGCACAAAGAGGACAGAGUUGAUGACAUAUCAGGAACAUUUUUUACUUCCGGAGCAGGUCUGAGUCCCAGCGGAAGACUGAGGCCGACUGAGCCAGAGGCACCACUUCAAUAGGUCACUGGUCUCUGCAGGGAAAGGAAAAGGUGUAAGAGUUCUCCCUGCAUAGAUGCUAUUUGUGACUUGGAUGUUUUCUUUCUAAUACAAAUGCAUCAAAGUGUUCACAGGAAUCUAGCUAUAUGCAAGAAGUCUGGAUUAUCUGCCUGAGAGAACUGGCCAGUAUCUCACCCAUGAGCACCAGAACCCAUUUCUAGAUUACUAAGAAAGGAGCACAAGAACACUGUGUAUAAGGCUCUGUGUUCCUAGAACUUUCUAAAUUUUACUUAAUGCAGGUUAACUUCAUCAACCCUGGUGAAAAUGCCACCUCCUCAUGAGGAAGCCUUCCCCAUUUGCUCUGUCUCAGAGACACUUGACUCCAUGGACUUCUCUGCAAUUCUGUUCUGUGUAGGACUGCCUAGUGCCUAGCCUUCUUGUGAUGUUCCUUGCUUAUGUCUUGUCUCCCCAUUUGAUUUGGAGGGUCCUGGGCAGGGACCACUGGGCUGGGCUCUAGUAGGCCCCCUGUAAAGACCUGUUGAGUAAUUAGAAGAGACAGUGGCCCCAUCUGGGUGAAUCCUGAAUUUAAUCAAUUUCCUGGAUCCUUGUUUAUUUUGCAAGUAGGAUAAGAAUGUCAUUGAAAUCCUAUCAUGUAGUCAUGGAAGGGCUAAUACAGUCAGUGUACUGCUACUCACUAAGCAUGCUGUUUAGCUCAGCGGUUUUUUGUUUUGUUUUGAUAACAAGACUGUCUCGAUGAAAGAAGCAGGGCGUUGUUUAAUAUUCUAAUGCAGGCUCCUUAUUUCACGACAUACUGGUAGUUACACUUGGAGUCGCAGUGAAAUAAAACAUCUAGGCCAGCGCCGUGGCUCACGUCUGUAAUCCCAGCACUUUCGGAGGCUGAGGCAGGUGGAUCACUUGAGGUCAGGAGUUUGAACCAGUUUGGCCAACAUGGUGAAACCCUGUCUUUACUAAAAAUACAAAAAUUAGCCUGGCGUGGUGAUGCAUGCCUGUAGUCCCAGGUACCUGCGAGGCUGAGGCAGGAGAAUCGCUUGAACCUGGAAGGUGGAGAUUGCAGUGAGCCAAGAUGGCACCACUGCACUCCAGCCUGGGUGACAGAGCAAGACUCUGUCUCAAAAAAAUUAAAGAAAAUAGAAAUAAAACAUAUAGCCUCACCCUCUUCAUUUGACAGAUGUGGGCUUUGAGGCUGAUAGAGAGGUAACUUGUCCAUGAUUAGACAGCAAGAAAUAGAGCUGCAGUUGGUACCAGGGCCUCAUAACACUGGGUCUAUAAUCACAAUGAAGCACCACCAGUGUCAAUGCAUGUAAAUUUCACACCCCUUAUCACACUGCAUCUACAAAGUAGUGCUGAGAACUGGGCAUGGCAGGCAUUAGUCUCUCCACGAGGAAACAGGCUCAGAGACUCUGAAGAUCCGUCCAAAUGCAUAGAGUGGGGAAGCAGUGAAAAGACGACGUUAGGACAUCCCAGCCCUGCCCACGUUCAGAGUUUGUUCCAACACAUUAGUCUUCAGAUGAGCUCACUAUUUUAGUCCUGCGUGCUCCAGCAAUGGCCUGAGAGGUGUGGGUACGUGCUGAAUGUCCAGGCCUUGUUAAAGAUAACUGCAGUACGGGCCAGGCGUGGUGGCUCGCGCCUGUAAUCCCAGCACUUUGGGAGGCCGAGGAGGAUGGAUCACGAGGUCAGGAGUU